rnacentral:rRNA from 1 species
UAAACGGGAAGAACCUUACCAGGUCUUGACAUCUUCUGAUAGCCUAAGAGAUUAGGUGUUCCCUCGGGGACAGAAUGACAGGUGGUGUAUGGUUGUCGUCAGACUCGUGUCGUGAGAUGUUGGGUUAAGUCCCGCAACGAGCGCAACCCUUAUUGUCAGUUGCCAGCAUUAAGUUGGGCACUCUGGCAAGACUGCCGGUGACAAACCGGAGGAAGGUGGGGAUGACGUCAAAUCAUCAUGCCCCUUAUGACCUGGGCUACACACGUGCUACAAUGGACGAUACAACGAGUCGCUAGACCGCGAGGUUAAGCUAAUCUCUGAAAGUCGUUCUCAGUUCGGAUUGCAGGCUGCAACUCGCCUGCAUGAAGUCGGAAUCGCUAGUAAUCGCGGAUCAGC